AUCGCUUCUCUGACUUUUGGCUAAGAUCAAGUGUAGUAUCUGUUCUUAUCAGGCAGUCCACUGGUAGGAAUGGAUGGCUACAUGGAGGAGCAGCUGUACAGGGGCCACAGGACACACUCAACGGCUGCCCUGAUGUGACCUGUUUCCUCCGGGUCUCACCAUGAGGCUGGGAGGGUCUAGAG